CCUACGGGAGGCAGCAGUAGGGAAUAUUGGGCAAUGGGCGAAAGCCUGACCCAGCGACGCCGCGUGAGGGAUGAAGGUCUUCGGAUUGUAAACCUCUUUCAGUAGGGAAGAAGCGAAAGUGACGGUACCUAAAGAAGAAGCACCGGCUAACUAUGUGCUAGCAGCCGCGGUAAUACAUAGGGUGCAAGCGUUGUCCGGAAUUAUUGGGCGUAAAGAGCUCGUAGGUCGUUUGUCGCGUCGAUUGUGAAAAUCUGAGGCUCAACCUCAGACCUGCAGUCGAUACGGGCAAACUAGAGUGUGGUAGGGGAGACUGGAAUUCCUGGUGUAGCGGUGGAAUGCGCAGAUAUCAGGAGGAACACCAAUGGCGAAGGCAGGUCUCUGGGCCAUAACUGACACUGAGGAGCGAAAGUGCGGGGAGCGAACAGGAUUAGAUACCCUGGUAGUCCGCACCGUAAACGGUGGGCACUAGUUGUGGGAACCUUCCACGGUUUCCGCGACGCAGCAAACGCAUUAAGUGCCCCGCCUGGGGAGUACGAUCACAAGAUUAAAACUCAAAGGAAUUGACGG
rnacentral:rRNA from 1 species